GGCUACCUGAAAAUCUGAGACAGAAAUGCCUCCUGGCCUAUUGCCUAGUUGAGGAGAGUUAUUGAGGACCAGCAAGAGUUCCAGGGAAAACCUAGUAGGGGACACAACAGACUGAGCAUCCCACAUUCAGAUGCUCACAUCCUGGCAAGCACCCAUGGUCCUCGGGGCCACAUCGCUGAUUCUACAGCGCGAACCUUCACACACACGCCUAAGGCCUCCGAAGAGAAGGGCUCCGCAGUCCCCUUCCCAAAACUCCCUGGUCCGGGACCAGCCGGACUCGCCUUCACCCAGCAAGAACAACCGCUGUACGCGCCCUUCGCCUCAGGUCCCCGCCUCCCGCAGGCCUGUGAUUUGCGUUUGCGCACGCCCGGACCGCGCGGCCACUCCCAGAAGUCUCCGGGGCUCGGGCGCGGAGCUGGUUGCUUUACUUCGGGACUUUUACGACCCUGCGCUCCGUGUCCAACGGUGCGCGUGGUGACUGGGACCUCGGGCUCUUUUUGCGUGUCCCUUGUUGGGCUCCGCCCGUGAGUGGCCCCGGUGUGAGGAAGACGUCCUUGUGGGUCACCGCGGAAAAGGCUGUGCGGACGUAGCGUGGAGCCCGCGUGCACGGCGAGUGGAGGUGAGUGGCUCUGAGACUGGUGGCUCUGGGUUUGCUGCUGCUUCCUCCACCUUCCUGUCAGCCACGUAUGACUACCACAGAGAAGCGACUCCUGGCGGGAAACCAUAUACUGAGUCCUCCAUGGAGGAUUUUGGUAAAAAGGUACAGACCAGCUGUUAGAAUGUGAAUUUUAGAUCAUGAUUACCCCAGAGACAGGCUUCUAGGAACGUGUAGGAUAGACUCCAAGAAUGGUAUUCCUUCCUGGGACUGCCCCUCCCGGGAGUUUUCUGGGGUUCAUUUACACACUUGAGAAUGUCCGCAUUCUUUGAACCCUAAAGGAAAGAACAACGUGUGAACAGUCUUGCUUCAUUCUGGUUAAUAUGCAUGAGGUCACAGCGGAUGUAGCCAUGGAGGGCAGAUCAUAAAUGCUCAGCACUGUGGCGACUGAUGAUUCCCUUUCAGGUUUCUGUAGUUAAGAAGCAAUGAAAAUUUGAGGUUGUGAUGUGUUUUUACAAGUUAAAGGACUGAGUCAGAGUUCAAGUGUCCAAGACCAGGAUUUCUUAACAGGGGUCCUUUGUAUUUGUGAGUGUAGAGGGAACCACAGCUCCCUGAAAUUGUGUAGAUAAUUGUUGCAUAUAUUUGGAAACACUCAUUUUCCAGGGGUGUACAUAACUCAAAAAAUUUACACUUGGUUUUAUCUAGAAUCAAAAAUUGUUAUACAUUGGGACCAUUUUGCACAAAAUUAGUGAUCAAGAUAAUGGGAAUGGUUGGGAAAGCUCAUGACAUCAAUGAGAGAAUAUUAUGCAGAUGAUGCGAUUUCUGUUUAUAAGAAUUAGUUAUUAUAAGGAAAGAGACUUAUCUAAUGCAACCAUCUUUGUUUGUGGAUAUAGUAUUCAAGAAAAUUUUAGGGGUGCCUGGGUGGCUCAGUUGGUUCAGCGUCUGCCUUCAGCUCAGGUCAUGAUUUCAGAGUCCUGGGAUUGAGCCCCAUGUCAGGCUCCCUACACAGCAGAGGGUCUGCUUCUUCC